GGCGCGCGCAGAUCCCAGACCGGCCUUUUCGGGCCGCAGUAGCGGCGAGGGGGCUGCGUGUGCCCAUCCCUGCCGUUAAAAAUGCAUCAACUACACUCUUCCCUCUUGUGGCUUCAAAACAGGUCUGCCACCAAAUAAGGAGACUUGAUGCUACUUUACAAGGAUUUGAAUUGUGCCCUUGGAAGACCUGCAGAAGAAACACCCACCUGACACUGGGAGAUGAAACUGUAAGCUUUGCAAGGCCCUUGGGUAGAGGAUACCUGUGUCUCCAGUGUGGGAGAAACUGUUUCACCUGCUGAUGGUGUUGAAGAUGAGGCCUUUCUAACUGAAGGUAAUGGAAAAACAUUUGGCUGUGCUGCAGUUGAUCUUAGGAGUUCAUUUUUGGACAUAAAAGGGUGUGCAAAUCCAUUUUGUUUCUGGAAGAUCUGAAGCAAAGGCUUCCAAAGUGUUUCUCCUUGCAAUGUACAGUACAGCUGUGAAAUGGUACAGUUGGAUAGUGCUGCCACCAGAAAGUGAAGAUCAUGGGGAGUUUGUGUGAGAAACAAGACUGACUUAUGUCUGAGGAAAGGACUGUGCUGUCUGCAACCUUGUUGGGUGAGGAGGCAACUUUGAAACUACUGUAUGAAGAACUGAGAAGGUGGAACAUUGCAGAAUAACGGAUUACACUUGUGUGAACAGUGCUAAAAAAGCCAAGUGUUUUUUUACCACACUGGUAAUGUUUGUCUGAUACUGAUGGGAACCAAUAAAUACUUGUAAACUCU